rnacentral:miRNA from 1 species
ACACCGAAGAACUGACACCGAAGA